GGAGAGAUGCCCGAGUGGUUGAAGGGGACGGCCUCGAAAGUCGUUGUGGGCGUAAGCUCACCGGGGGUUCGAAUCCCUCUCUCUCCG
rnacentral:tRNA from 1 species